CCUACGGGUGGCAGCAGUGAGGAAUAUUGGUCAAUGGACGAGAGUCUGAACCAGCCAAGUAGCGUGAAGGAUGACUGCCCUAUGGGUUGUAAACUUCUUUUAUAUGGGAAUAAAAUGUUCCACGUGUGCGUUUUUGUAUGUACCAUAUGAAUAAGGAUCGGCUAACUCCGUGCCAACAGCCGCGGUAAUACGGAGGAUCCGAGCGUUAUCCGGAUUUAUUGGGUUUAAAGGGAGCGUGGGUGGAUUGUUAAGUCAGUUGUGAAAGUUUGCGGCUCAACCGUAAAAUUGCAGUUGAAACUGGCAGUCUUGAGUACAGUAGAGGUGGGCGGAAUGCGUGGUGUAGCGGUGAAAUGCUGAGAUAUCACGAAGAACUCCGAUUGCGAAGGCAGCUCACUGGACUGCAACUGACACUGAGGCUCGAAAGUGUGGGUAUCAAACAGGAUUAGAUACCCUUGUAGUC
rnacentral:rRNA from 1 species